ACGAACGCUGGCGGCGUCCUAAUACAUGCAAGUCGAGCGGACUAAUUGGAGCUUGCUCCAAUUAGUUAGCGGCGGACGGGUGAGUAACACGUGGGCAACCUACCUAUAAGACUGGGAUAACUUCGGGAAACCGGAGCUAAUACCGGAUGACACAAAGGAACUCCUGUUCCUUUGUUGAAAGAUGGCUUCGGCUAUCACUUAUAGAUGGGCCCGCGGCGCAUUAGCUAGUUGGUGAGGUAACGGCUCACCAAGGCGACGAUGCGUAGCCGACCUGAGAGGGUGAUCGGCCACACUGGGACUGAGACACGGCCCAGACUCCUACGGGAGGCAGCAGUAGGGAAUCUUCCGCAAUGGACGAAAGUCUGACGGAGCAACGCCGCGUGAGCGAUGAAGGCCUUCGGGUCGUAAAGCUCUGUUGUUAGGGAAGAACAAGUGCUAGUUGAAUAAGC
rnacentral:rRNA from 1 species